GCAGGUAUAGCUCAGUCAAUAAAGCAUGAGACUCUUAAUCUCAGGGUCGUGGUUUAAAAACCCCAUGUUUGGCA